rnacentral:rRNA from 1 species
CAAUAGCGUAUAUUAAAGUUGUUGCAGUUAAAAAGCUCGUAGUUGAAUUUUUGCUUGCCGCCGAUGUCGGAACUUCCGUACGUUCGGCAGCGUGCAUCCUUGGGUGGAACCUGUGUGGCAUUAGGUUGUCGUGCAGGGGAUGCUCAUCGUUUACUGUGAAAAAAUUAGAGUGUUCAAAGCAGGCUUACGCCGUUGAAUAUAUUAGCAUGGAAUAAUAAGAUAGGACCUUGGUACUAUUUUGUUGGUUUGCGCACCGAGGUAAUGAUUAACAGGGACAGUUGGGGGUAUUCGUAUUCCAUUGUCAGAGGUGAAAUUCUUGGAUUUCUGGAAGACGAACUACUGCGAAAGCAUUUACCAAGGAUGUUUUCAUUAA